GAUGAACGCUAGCGGCAGGCUUAAUACAUGCAAGUCGAGGGGCAGCAUGAUUGUAGCAAUACAAUUGAUGGCGACCGGCAAACGGGUGCGGAACAUGUACACAACCUUCCAAUAAGUGGGGAAUAGCCCAGAGAAAUUUGGAUUAAUACCCCGUAACAUAACGAUGUGGCAUCACAUUGUUAUUCUAGAUUUUUCGCUUAUUGAUGGGUGUGCGGCUGAUUAGAUAGUUGGCGGGGUAACGGCCCACCAAGGAUACGUACAGUAGCUGAUGUGAGAGCAAGCACAGCCACACGGGCACUGAGACACGGGCCCGACUCCUACGGGAGGCAGCAGUAAGGAAUAUUGGACAAUGGACGCAAGUCUGAUCCAGCCAUGCCGCGUGAAGAAUUAAGGUCCUCUGAAUUGUAAACUUCUUUUAUAAGGGACGAAAAAAGGCAUUUCUAAGUCGUCUGACGGUACCUUAUGAAUAAGCACCGGCUAACUCCGUGCCAGCCGCCGCCGUAAAAC
rnacentral:rRNA from 1 species